ensembl:lncRNA
GUUUUCCAGUUUAUUUGCUUGGAUUCAGAACCAUAUCCAUACAGGUGCAUAUAUCAGAGGUACAAGAUAAGUUUUCAUGCCUUCAAAUGCAUAAGACAGCAUGCACCAGUGUAUCAGAAAUUCUUUUCUGUACCUCAGCCCAUAGGGAUCUGUGAUAAUCCAUGAAUAUCUCCUAGAAUUUCCUCCUGAAGAGAUUUGUAAAGUACUCUUUUAACAGAUUAAUGCAAUAAAUGUAAGCACAACUGCAAUUUUUAUUAGACAUGUUCUCUUCUGUCACAAAAUUAUUCACCUAAAUGAAGUGAUCCCUUUGCCACCAGUACUAUCUGGUACAAUACUGCACCAGAAGACAAAUGAGAAACAGAAGUGAAGGGGGAAGUGGGUUAAAAAACAGUAAAUGAAUCUUGGAAGACUAGCCCAGAGUAAGGAUGUGGAAGAUGUACUUUUUGAAACCUGCAGCAGUGUUAUAAAAAGGAAGAAAGAGCACUGAAAUAAUAUUUUUUAUAUUGAACUCUAAUCAUCACUUCCACAGCACAUCUAUGGCUUAUGUUCUAUUUAUAAUUAAUGUUUUCUAAGCAUAUUCCAUGGAAACAGCCAGCCAAUCAGCUGCCCAAAGUACAGGAAAUAAGCUGUCAGCUAGAGAUACUGCAUAAAUCUUUUCUUAAAAUAAACAGCUCUGUAGUUAGGAUGGCUGCUUCUAGAAUUCUGACAGAGUUGUGUAGGAUACAGUCUACUCACUGAGAAAUAAAAACUAUGGCUAAGCUAGUCCACAGCAUACAGAUUGAGGUACAGGCUAUUAUGCUGUGUUGUUGCUGCUCCAGCUUAUGAAACAGAACGUUCUAAGUCUGUCUAUCUUAAAAAAAGCAAAGCAAGAGGGCAACAGAACUCUCCCAGAUUUUGCUGGUGAUCUAGAGAAAAAAAAUCUUUGGACCUAUAAAUGUGUGCAGUAUUUUCACUCUUGCAAAUAUGACAUCAACCUCAAGAGGGUAGUAUAAAACAGCCUAUGUUACAAUAUCUGCUCUAGGACUUUUUCCAAAACAGCUAUGCCAUCUACUUGACAAAAUACGCUCAAUUUCUACCCUCUGUCACAGUACAGAUAAUUUUGAAGCUGGCAUUCUCAUUAUCUUAUUUCUGAGCAAUGACAUUGAGGGGAAAAAAACCGUCUAACAAAAGGUGGGUAAAUUACCUGGGUAUUCAGUACAACUGGUUGUUCUAACCCAAGUACUGCAUACAAUGGAUGCCAAGAUGCAACGAAUUAACAAUGAACAAACUUACUUUACAACAAGACAAGCCCCUCAAUCAAAUGGUGGAGCUGAAUAUGCUUGUUUCUUUGUGGAUCAUUCUUACUAAUAAUUUGAGAUAAUGAAAUAUAUAUUUAUGUUUCAUUAUAUAUGUUUUUAUAUAUAUAUACAUAGAGAGAAUUAUCUUCUUCCACUAAUUUAAGAUGAUUAUUCAAUUGUGAAAACGAAAUAAGAUGACUAAUUAGGCUAUAAUCAACCUAGUUCCUAUGCAAAAUAAUAAAUAAAAAGAAGAGUAAUUUCCCACUAAAGAAGUAACAAGAAUCACUCAAUCAGCUACUAUUUUAUAAUUACUUGAAGCGUUUAAUUCUUUACAGAC